UGAGGCAGUCGUUGUAAUACCAUCCCAACCUGCAAAAUCAUAUGUUUUAAUAGCAUUAAGCUCCGUAAACCUUUCUAAGUUGUAAACACUAGUGUAUCAUGGGCAUCUUUAAUAAUUUGAAAUUAGGUUUUUAUUUAUCCAUAUAGGCUCCGUUGAACCCAACUGUUAGCUGCUCUGAUACCGUGCAUAUUGCUCUACGUUAAAGUUGGUUUCGUCGAAAUUGCUCUAUAUUUGCUAUCUGUAAAUUUGGAGGCAAUGAGAUACUAAAAGAAAGGAGACUUGGUAACAAAAGUAAGUAUGAUGCAGCUGUAAGUCUUUGUCUUUUGUCUUUACUUCGUCUUCAGUUGACGAAACUUUCAUUUCCUCAGCGAGAAUCCUCUUAUUUAGUGAAAAUGUUUAUUUUAUUGGUUCUAAAGUGAAGUGUGGUAUCAUUUCUGCGUAGGAGAUUGUAGUAUAACGUGUUUUCUGGUGGCUAUAGCUGCAGAAAGUCACCCAAUAGAAAUUGCAUGGGUUAA
rnacentral:lncRNA from 1 species